GUCAUUCUGCACUCAGUGCCCUCACUAUGAACUACCAUCUUCAGAAAAAGUGCCCACAGCUGCAUAAUCUACCAUACUUGACCAGAGUGGGAAAAGAGUAGAGGAAGCCUAGGAACAAAACAGACUGCAGGAGUGAAGAGUUCGGGGCAGCUGUUUGCAGCCUGUGAGAGGGAUGAUGGGAAUUUUUUUAAGGAUCUGUUCGUUGCACUCAGCUAAUCAAAAGCAGCACACCAGACUCCAGCAUCCCUACAUAUUCAGGUUGGAUGCAAGCAGGCCAUACUUGAACUUCCGGUAGACAGUGCCAUCUUGGCCCAUAUAGACGAUGUCGUCCUCGUCAUCCUCAUCGUAGUCCCGGUCCCUGUACUCAAUCACCUGGUCUUCAUCAAGAUAACUGCUCCUGUAGGAGGAGUAUGACACCGUGGGCUCUGACAGCUUUUCAUAGAGCCCCUUUGCCACAGGUCGGCUUCGGGACUUCCGCCACACGACCACAGCAGCCCCCAGCAGCAACAGCAGCAUGGUGCCUGAGGUUGCCAGCAGAGCAGUCUUGGUGUGCUCAUAGAACUCAGCCUCGCUGGCUGGAAGAAUGCACUCAUCUGAUGGAGGCCGUCCCAGAGGCAGCAGCAAAGGGGAAAAAAGAAACAAUUGGGAAAAUCAAACUGUGAAGUAAAGAACUUUUUUACUUCAACAUCUAAGAAUUACAUCUAAAAACGGUAGAAUCAUUUUUUUCUAGUUUCUUAGGAGGCAAUUGCUCUACAAAAACUCAGUAUGUAUCCCCACAGAGUCUACAUCUGAUAAAACCAACCAAUGCUCCUAGAAUGUUAAGUUUGAAAUCCAAAAGGGACCCAGAUCCCUGUUUCCUGGGCCAGUCUCUAAGGGUCCAACGCUCUCGGUGAUUCUUUGAUUCCUGAGGAAUGAGUUUUUGUUUUAGUUUUUUUCCUUUACUGCUAAACAAGAACUCCGAUUUUUUUCUUCUAAAAUGGAGUUAUCUCUCUAACUAUCUUUUAGACUGGUCCAACAUGGCUCUCCAACCCUUCAAGAACAAGAAAGCAUAAUUUAUAAAGCC